rnacentral:rRNA from 1 species
CAGUUCAGACUGCAGGCUGCAACUCGCCUGCACGAAGUCGGAAUUGCUAGUAAUCGUAGGUCAGCAUACUACGGUGAAUACGGUUCCCGGGCCUUGUACACACCGCCCGUCAAACCAUGAGAGUUGGCCACACCCGAAGUCGGUAGUCUAACCGCAAGGAGGACGCCGCCGAAGGUGGGGUUGAUGAUUAGGGUUAAGUCGUAACAAGGUAGC